rnacentral:rRNA from 1 species
UACGUAGGGUGCAAGCGUUAAUCGGACUUACUGGGCGUAAAGCGUGCGCAGGCGGUUAUGUAAGACAGAUGGGAAAUGCCCGGGCUUAACCUGGGAACUGCAUUUGUGACUGCAUGGCUAGAGUUUGGCAGAGGGGGGUAGAAUUCCGCGUGUAGCAGUGAAAUGCGUAGAUAUGCGGAGGAACACCGAUGGCGAAGGCAAUCCCCUGGGCCUGUACUGACGCUCAUGCACGAAAGCGUGGGGAGCAAACAGG